rfam:Beta vulgaris subsp. vulgaris chromosome 5, whole genome shotgun sequence.
GCAUGCUACUCAUUCCAACAAGAUGCAUCUUUCUUUUAGGGAGUUCAUUUCCUUAUUUACUCUACAGUUAAGCGUGUUUGGCUGUGAGUAGUCUAGGGAUGGGUGACCUUCUAGAAAUUUUCUCAGGGUGUGCAUGAC